ACGGGAGGCAGCAGCUAAGAAUAUUCCGCAAUGGACGAAAGUCUGACGGAGCGACGCCGCGUGGAUGAUGAAGGCCGGAAGGUUGUAAAAUCCUUUUGAAUGAGACGAAUAAGCAGGUCAGGGAAUGGGCUUGUGGUGACGGUAUCAUUUGAAUAAGCAACGGCUAAUUACGUGCCAGCAGCCGCGGUAACACGUAAGUUGCGAGCGUUGUUCGGAAUUAUUGGGCGUAAAGGGCAUGUAGGCGGUUCUGCAAGCUUGGUGUGAAAUCCCGGAGCUUAACUCCGGAAUUGCGUUGAGAACUGCAUAACUAGAGUCACUGAGGGGCAAUCAGAAUUCCAGGUGUAGGGGUGAAAUCUGUAGAUAUCUGGAAGAAUACCAAUGGCGAAGGCAGGUUACCAGCAGAUGACUGACGCUGAGGUGCGAAGGUGCGGGGAGCAAACAGGAUUAGAUACCCUGGUA
rnacentral:rRNA from 1 species